CCUACGGGUGGCAGCAGUGGGGAAUAUUGGACAAUGGGGGGAACCCUGAUCCAGCCAUGCCGCGUGUGUGAAGAAGGCCCUCGGGUUGUAAAGCACUUUCAGUGAGGAAGAACGCCUGGUGGUUAAUACCCAUCAGGAAAGACAUCACUCACAGAAGAAGCACCGGCUAACUCCGUGCCAGCAGCCGCGGUAAUACGGAGGGUGCGAGCGUUAAUCGGAAUUACUGGGCGUAAAGCGCGCGUAGGUGGCUUGAUAAGCCGGUUGUGAAAGCCCCGGGCUCAACCUGGGAACGGCAUCCGGAACUGUCAAGCUAGAGUGCAGGAGAGGAAGGUAGAAUUCCCGGUGUAGCGGUGAAAUGCGUAGAGAUCGGGAGGAAUACCAGUGGCGAAGGCGGCCUUCUGGACUGACACUGACACUGAGGUGCGAAAGCGUGGGUAGCAAACAGGAUUAGAUACCCGUGUUAGUC
rnacentral:rRNA from 1 species